rnacentral:misc_RNA from 1 species
AAAAUGCGAUAUUUGGUGUGAAUUGCAGAAUCCCGUGAACCAUCGAGUCUUUGAACGCAAGUUGCGCCCGAAGCCAUUAGGCCGAGGGCACGCCUGCCUGGGUGUCACACAUCGUUACCCCAACGCAAACAUGUAACAAUGUUGCUGCACGGGGGGUAUGCUGACCUCCCGCGAGCACCCGCCUCGUGGUUGGUUGAAAUCUGGGUUCAUGGCCGACUUCGCCGUGAUAAAAUGGUGGAUGAGCUACGCUCGAGACCAAUCACGUGGGAGCCGGUCAGUCCUGGACCCAUUGACAACCCUUUGCGUGCACGCACACUCCCAACGAAACCUCAGGUCAGGCGGGGCUACCCGCUGAGUUUAA